AUAAUGUAUCCAGCGGGCAGGAUGCCGAGCGUAUGGCUGGUUAGA
rnacentral:sRNA from 1 species